rnacentral:rRNA from 1 species
ACCCGCACAAGCGGUCGGAUGAUGUGGUUUAAUUCGAUGCAACGCGAAAAACCUUACCCACCUUUGACAUGGCAGGAAUCCUGAAGAGAUUUGGGAGUGCUCGAAAGAGAACCUGCACACAGGUGCUGCAUGGUUGUCGUCAGCUCGUGCCGUGAGGUGUCGGGUUAAGUCCCAUAACGAGCGCAACCCUUAUCGUUAGUUGCCAUCUGGUAAUGCAGGGGACUCUAGCGAAACUGCCACCGUAAGGUGAGAGGAAGGUGGGGAUGACGUCAAAUCAGCACGGCCCUUAUGUCCAGGGCUACACACGUGUUACAAUGGUCGGUACAGAGGGCAGCUACCUGGUGACAGGAUGCUAAUCUACGAAACCGGUCUCAGUUCGGAUCGAAGUCCGCAACUCGACUUCGUGAAGCUGGAUUCGCUAGUAAUCGCGCAUCAGCUAUGGCCGCGGUCGAAUACGUUCCGGCCUU